CCCGUAGGUGGCUUUGUAAGUCGGAGGUGAAAGACCACGGCUCAACCGUGGAAACGCCUUCGAAACUGUGAAGCUUGAGGCUGGGAGAGGAAAUCGGAAUUCCUGGUGUAGCGGUGAAAUGCGUAGAGAUCAUGAGGAAGACCAGUGGCGAAGGCGGGUCUCUGGACAGUUCCUGACACUGAGACACGAAGGCCAGGGGAGCAAACG
rnacentral:rRNA from 1 species